CUUUCAAAUGAAUAUCACCUUCUACUAAAUAUAACUGAUCUCUUAGCAUCAUGUACAAGUAAAGGAUGCCAAUUUGCCAGAUUGAUUGCUGCACAAGUAUUUGCUUUUGAUGACCUUGUUAACAUUGUAUUGAAUCGUAAUAUAAAAGGUUACAGAAAAAUACCUUUUCUUUGUAUUUUGACUUGGACCUACUUAGAUGGGAGAAGUUUUACUCUAUAUAGGCAACUUUUGACUCAUAUGAUGUCCACAAUAGAAAAAUUACAUAAAGAAAGAAAUCGUAUUAUUCCUAUG